UUAAGUUCAGCGGGUAGUCCUACCUGAUUUGAGAUCAAACAUUCACAAAGCUGUCCCCACCAAGGAGACAUUUAUGAGCCCCAGUGAACCCCCAUUGCUGAAGGUUACCUGGUGGAACACCACAAGCGUAGAUAGUUAUCACACCCGUGAUGCCACCAAACACUGGAAAGCUGAUUCAUUUGAGAGGAGCUGACCACAGG
rnacentral:misc_RNA from 1 species